GUUGCCUGGAAUUAUUUCGUCGGAGAAUCAGGAUUCGAUGCGGAUGGAAAUGGAAUCAGCCGCUAAGCGGCAGAGAUAGAAAGAGAGAGAGAGAGAGAGAACGAGAUGGUGGAGGCGGUGGGAAGAAGCUGGAGGAUGGCGGUGGCGGUGUGGUGUUGGGAAGAAACUGUGGCCGGUGGUGGAGUCCCGUGUAGAUAAACCGUCUGCCAUCAAUCUGAGGCAUGGUGGCGGCGGUGUGAACAAGCUGAUGAUAGAACGGUGGAUGUGAAAGUGAAGCUGAAGUAGGUGUCCGACAAGCGAAAUACAUAAUACAUCGUCAAGAAUCUGCCUCCCUUUGACCUCCGUGGGUUGCCGCGGCUGGCCGCAAGGGUGUCGCCGGAAAAACCACAGCCACAUUUUGUCAUAGUUAUAACUAGAUGUAGCUUGGUAUAUGUGAAAUUAGUGUUGAUAGUUAAAACUAAAAGAAAACAAAGUGGAGAAACCGAUGGUAUAUACUUCAAUAGAUGCUUCUUUCAUGUGGGUUUAGUGGUGGAUAAAGAUCUAUUGUACCUGUUUGUUUGUUUGCUUGCUUGCUAAGGUCAUAGCCUCUUUGGGUUGUUUAAAAAAGUUUCCUUUCUGUUUUUGUAACUGUAUAUUCGAUUAAUAUUGUUUAAUAUAAUCUUGCAAUUUGGAGUUGAAGGCUGUGAAUUGUUAUCCCCUUAGUCUGUAAAUAUGCAAACCAAUCAUUUGAAACGAAAAGAAAAGUUGAGUCUAUUCUUUGCCAACUCAAAAUGCGAUGCAACUGAGUCUAUGUUGCGGCACCCGCCACAACGCGCCGGAUGA
rnacentral:lncRNA from 1 species